AACUCACGAAUUUCUCACUUAUUAAAAUUAUAAUUAUCUUCAUCACGAAAUGAAUCGUUUCGUUCUGAAUUUUUUCUUCUAUGCUUAUUAAACAAACAAAGCAAAAUAGAAACCACUAAUAAAACGCCACCUGUGAUUCCACAAACCAAGCUCGCCAUUACUAAAGCUUUUCUCAGCUUUCCUCUGCCGUUCCCGGUGGUGCUCCAAUAUGCCGGCGGGAGGGAAUCAGGGACAUUCCGAUACGCGUCGUAGGAGGAAGAAGAGGAGGAUGAGCUGGAGUUGGUGUUGAAGAAGGAUUUCAUGUCCGGUGGAGAAUUUGCUGGCGGUGGGGAUUGGAAGCUGAGGCCGGAAUCUGUGAGAUGGAGUAAGUGUUGAAGAAAGAUAUCAUGCCCGGU
rnacentral:lncRNA from 1 species